GACGAACGCUGGCGGCGUGCUUAACACAUGCAAGUCGAACGGAAAGGCCCUGCUUUUGUGGGGUGCUCGAGUGGCGAACGGGUGAGUAACACGUGAGUAACCUGCCCUUGACUUUGGGAUAACUUCAGGAAACUGGGGCUAAUACCGGAUAGGAGCUCCUGCUGCAUGGUGGGGGUUGGAAAGUUUCGGCGGUUGGGGAUGGACUCGCGGCUUAUCAGCUUGUUGGUGGGGUAGUGGCUUACCAAGGCUUUGACGGGUAGCCGGCCUGUGUGGGUGACCGGCCACAUUGGGACUGCGAUACGGCCCAGACUCCUACGGGAGGCAGCAGUGGGGAAUAUUGCACAAUGGGCGGAAGCCUGAUGCAGCAACGCCGCGUGCGGGAUGACGGCCUUCGGGUUGUAAACCGCUUUCGCCUGUGACGAAGCGUGAGUGACGGUAAUGGGUAAAGAAGCACCGGCUAACUACGUG
rnacentral:rRNA from 1 species